rnacentral:rRNA from 1 species
CCUACGGAUGGCAGCAGUGAGGAAUAUUGGUCAAUGGGCGCGAGCCUGAACCAGCCAAGUAGCGUGAAGGAUGACUGCCCUACGGGUUGUAAACUUCUUUUAUAAAGGAAUAAAGUGAGGCACGUGUGCCUUUUUGUAUGUACUUUAUGAAUAAGGAUCGGCUAACUCCGUGCCAGCAGCCGCGGUAAUACGGAGGAUCCGAGCGUUAUCCGGAUUUAUUGGGUUUAAAGGGAGCGCAGGUGGAUGGUUAAGUCAGUUGUGAAAGUUUGCGGCUCAACCGUAAAAUUGCAGUUGAAACUGGCAGUCUUGAGUACAGUAGAGGUGGGCGGAAUUCGUGGUGUAGCGGUGAAAUGCUUAGAUAUCACGAAGAACUCCGAUUGCGAAGGCAGCUUACUAAACUGCCACUGACAUUGAUGCUCGAAAGUGUGGGUAUCAAACAGGAUUAGAUACCCUGGUAGUC